GUUACGGAGAGUGCCAAUCAUGCCAGGGAUCACUUGAAGACUGAGGUAGAUUUGAAGCAAUGUGACUGGUGGUGUGUGUGGGAGAGGACGGGAUGUUCAGCGAGGUUGUCCAUGGCCUGGUGUCUAGGACCCAGAGUGAUUCCAGAGUGGACCAGAACCAACCAAACCAGGACCUGGUUCCAUGUGCGCUCCACAUCGAAAUCAUCCCUGUAGGUUCGACUGACUGUAUCUGCUAUGCUACAACAGGCACCAACGAUCCAGUGACUUCAGCCCUGCACAUCAUCAUGGGUAAGUAG